rnacentral:rRNA from 1 species
UACGUAGGAUCCAAGCGUUGUCCGGAUUUACUGGGUGUAAAGGGUGCGCAGGCGGGCUGGUUAGUCUGUGGUGAAAUCUCAUCGCUCAACGAUGAAACUGCCUUAGAUACUGCCAGUCUUGAAUAAGCGAGAGAUCCGUGGAAUUCCGAGUGUAGCAGUGAAAUGUGUAGAUAUUCGGAAGAACACCAGCGGCGAAGGCAGCGGGUUGGCGCUUUAUUGACGCUCAGGCACGAAAGCAUGGGGAUCAAACAGG